CCGGUUUCCGGUUCCUAGCGUGGAGAGCGCGUGGCCGGAGGAGCAGCAUGGCGGCCGAGGGAGACGAGCAGCGGGGACGGGGCAGGCCGCCGGCUGGGUCGGGGCCGCCCACGAGGCAGCGUCUGUAGGUCCUUCGCGCCGGGACGGACUUCAUCCCUCAGAAGUUCCUGACCGGCUCGAGGUGGACUCGGCCUUCCCUCCUCCUGAGGUGCCUUGAAGAAUAGCUUGACUCCCUCUUCUUCGGCGCAGCCCCUGAGCUAUCAGAAGACUGCUCUCAUGUCACCCAAAUCUGUGAUGACCCGGAACUGGGCACGGAAACAACACAGCCAGAACCAAGGCUUAACUCCCCUUUAUUGGUCCAACUUUCCUCCGAAUGUCUCACCGUUCACUGCAAAUCCAGGAGCGAAGCUCUGAACAUGCACCUCCAAUAGUUCCUGGCUGCUAUUAAUCCAGAGGAGCAGCUCUGUUCUGAGAGCGGCCAUAGUUCAAGGAAGUUGUUUCUAAGGUGUCACAGAAAGAAUUCACUGGUACUGCACCACCACCCAGAGUAUAACUGUGUCACUGCGACCUCACAUGUAGCCACGCCAGCAUGGCAAACAAGGCAAAGAAGACAAUGCCAGCAAAGUAUCCAGAUGUCGGUAACAGCAUGUGAGGCUGCGAAAAGCAACUCUUCUUCCCAACAAACACCCCUCCCAACAGCAUCUCUUUAAAUCUUAUUCCCCAGACCUACUUGGGGCGUAGAGACUGAAGAUGAGGAGAACGCCACAGUACAAGCCAAGGCAGGAGAGGUGCGUCUUGUAGUCCGAAAAAUACGGUAAGCAGAUGCUGUCAACCGCGCAGUCGCGACGGAGUUUCAUUGAUAAUCCUGGCUUACGGAACUGAACUGACAAAAGAAGGGAUCUUCUCCCAUCCAGAAUGUCGUCGGGAAUAAGUUGUUAAAUCGGAAUUUCAGCCUUGGCUCUCGCAACGCAACAUCCACGUAGCCUUAUUUUGAAAAGACCCACGAAGAAAAAAACCAGACCUAUUUUGUUCAGGAAAAGGCCUAAACAGAGACCCAUCGUGGAUUGUGGCAGUGAGCCUGUCGGAGAAAAGACAGUGGAUCAUUUUGAUUUAUUUGUAAUAAAGCUGGAAGGACUCUCUCUGAACAGCUUCCUUUCCUGAUUGAAAAUAUAUAUAUAUAUAUAUUGUAUUUUGAAACACAUUUCCUCACUCUGGUUUUUCACCAUUCCCGUACAGCUUGCAAUAUUUCACUUCUUUUUUCCCCUGUUGUUCCCCAGUACCUGGAUCUUAGAUGAAUUAACAGAUCCACACUCUUCGUUUCAUUAUACAAGGUUAUCUUAAUACUGGCUUCAAGUCGGAGUAAUGGGAAAACGACACACAAUCGUUUGCACACAUCCGUGGCAAAAAUGUGGUUUCCACACCUUUUGCCCACCAGUUCUGCAUUUCUAUAAUAAAUGUUACCACUCACA